GGANUCACUGGGCGUAAAGGACGCGUAGGCGGAUUAUCAAGUCUCUUGUGAANUCCUAUGGCUUAACCAUAGAACUGCUUGGGAAACUGAUAAUNUAGAGUGAGGGAGAGGCAGAUGGAAUUGGUGGUGUAGGGGUAAAAUCCGUAGAGAUCACCAGGAAUACCCAUUGCGAAGGCGAUCUGCUGGAACUCAACUGACGCUAAUGCGUGAAAGCGUGGGGAGCAANCAGGAUUAGAUACCCUGGUAGUCCACGCCCUAAACGAUGUAUACUAGUUGUUGCUAAGCUAGUCUUGGCAGUAAUGCACCUAACGGAUUAAGUAUACCGCCUGGGGAGUACGGUCGCAAGAUUAAAACUCAAAGGAAUAGACGGGGACCCGCACAAGCGGUGGAGCAUGUGGUUUAAUUCGAAGAUACGCGAAGAACCUUACCCGGACUUGAUAUCUAACAAAUCAUCUAGAGAUAGAAGAGUGUCUGCUUGCAGAAAUGUUAAGACAGGUGCUGCACGGCUGUCGUCAGCUCGUGUCGUGAGAUGUUGGGUUAAGUCCCGCAACGAGCGCAACCCACGUCAUUAGUUGCUAACAGUUCGGCUGAGCACUCUAAUGAGACUGCCUUCGUAAGGAGGAGGAAGGUGUGGACGACGUCAAGUCAUCAUGGCCCUUAUGUCCGGGGCGACACACGUGCUACAAUGGCAUAUACAAUGAGAAGCAAUAUCGCGAGAUGGAGCAAAUCUAUAAAAUAUGUCCCAGUUCGGAUUGGAGUCUGCAACUCGACUCCAUGAAGCCGGAAUCGCUAGUAAUCGUAGAUCAGCCAUGCUACGGUGAAUACGUUCCCGGGUCUUGUACUCACCGCCCGUCACACCAUGGGAGUUGAUUUCA
rnacentral:rRNA from 1 species